AAAUUGCAUUUGGAUAUAUUUAUGAAAUAAAAAGUUACAAACACUUUUUGAAGUAAUACCUAUUUCAUUGCGACUAAUUAAUAUGAACCAGUGACUCUCAAUUUAGGGACACUCUGUACUCGUAUAUCUCAACGAAACCCUAAAAUCCCUAUAAAGUUUGCUCGAAAUGUGAAAUUUAUUACUAUGAAAGUAUAAAACCAAGUAUAAUUUGUUUGCUUCAAAUGGUAGGCAAGUACCAGAAACCAACAGUUGAAGGCGGUAGUGGAAACAUCAUAUUUUUCGGCAUCUGAUACUGGUCCCGUAGUACGAAUUGAUAACAAAAUUGAUCUUUUCGUUUAUAAAGAUAUCUUCAUAAAUCAUAUGCUAUCCCUUGCAGAUAACGAUCCUAAACACAAUAGAACAUAUAUGGUAGCACGUGGAAUUAAAAAUCCGACAAAAAACAUCACCAACGAAGAGCAAGUUAUAUAAGGAGAAUGGGAAGUGUGUCGUAACAUUGUCUACUCCAUGAACAAACGAUGUCGAGAAGUUAUUAAAUGGUUAUGUUAGCAAAUAUUACAUAAAUAAACUACUUUCAAAUUUAUUUAGUGUAUAUGAUGUUAUUCCACAUUUAUGUCCAUAUCUAUUUUUUAUUUAAAUGUACUUUAAUGGGAUUUUGUUUUGUAGUAUCCAUUCGAUAAGAAAAAAAUAUACAAAUAAACCUAAUGAAAUGAAAUGAAUGAAAAUUUAUUCUAUGUUUUUGAUCACCACUGUAUAUAUCCUUGAGAGAAACACUUUGGUAGGGUAUGCAGAAGAAAAUAUGCCAAUUAUUAUAGUGCAGUAAUACAUGUAAUGGCCAAUGGGGACUUCAGUUCUUAAUCCCAUUGAAAACCUUGAGGUGUAUAAGGAAAUUCGAUCAAAUAAUUUUACCUAAUUGAUCGAGUUUACUUGAGGUAGAAUGGAUAUUGGCAGUCAUGGAGUGAAGUGGACAGAAGUGCUACCACAGAGCCACAAGUCCAUCGCUAUAGAUUAUUGGCCCUAAGGGACAGGAUGAAUUCAACACGAGUGAUUGCUGAUGAAUUUUUUGUAGAUGAAGACUUACCACAAACAGCAAACCAUAGGUGCCAACGUAGUGAUUGGUGUAUGGAACAUCAAUAGUGGUAUGAUGAAUGGAAUCACGAUGUGUUUAGUGAUGAAUCACACUUUUGCUUGAGCAUGCAUGAUAGUAAUGUGAUACGUGUGAUAAGCCGACGACGUGGAGAAAGACGUGAUCCUGGCUUUGAUGUAGAGAGUCAUAUUCAUAACACUAUGGGUUUAAUGGUCCGGGGUGCUAUAUAGAAUGAUGGCAGGUCAUCUUUAGCUUUCAUUAGUGGCAAUAUGACGUCCCAGGGAUAUGUGGAUGACGUUUUGGAGUUUUAUUUUCUUCCUACAUAAGAAGAGAUCUUGGACUAAUUUUUCAGUAAGUUAAUGCCCGUCCACAUAUUCCCAGGAAUUCAUUAAACUUCUUAGAAGUCUCCCUUGUGAAUUUAUUGCCAUGGCCACACUUCAGACCUUUCCUCAAUCGAACAAGUUUGGGAUAUAAUGAGGCGAAGUUUAAUGUAUUUACAGCGCGUAGUAUAAUCACCUUAUUGACUCUAUAAGAAAUAGAUGAUUCAAGUUAUGAAUCCUAAGGGAU